GACGAACGCUGGCGGCGUGCCUAAUACAUGCAAGUCGAACGCUGAAGGAGGAGCUUGCUUCUCUGGAUGAGUUGCGAACGGGUGAGUAACGCGUAGGUAACCUGCCUGGUAGCGGGGGAUAACUAUUGGAAGCGAUAGCUAAUACCGCAUAACAGUAGAUAUCGCAUGAUAUCUACUUGAAAGGUGCAAUUGCAUCACUACCAGAUGGACCUGCGUUGUAUUAGCUAGUUGGUGAGGUAACGGCUCACCAAGGCGACGAUACAUAGCCGACCUGAGAGGGUGAUCGGCCACACUGGGACUGAGACACGGCCCAGACUCCUACGGGAGGCAGCAGUAGGGAAUCUUCGGCAAUGGACGGAAGUCUGACCGAGCAACGCCGCGUGAGUGAAGAAGGUUUUCGGAUCGUAAAGCUCUGUUGUAAGAGAAGAACGAGUGUGAGAGUGGAAAGUUCACACUGUGACGGUAUCUUACCAGAAAGGGACGGCUAACUACGUG
rnacentral:rRNA from 1 species